GAGGGCCUACGGGAGGCAGCAGUGGGGGUUAUUGCACAAUGGGGGGAACCCUGAUGCAGCGACGCCGCGUGGGUGAAGAAGCGCCUCGGCGCGUAAAGCCCUGUCAGCAGGGAAGAAAAUGACGGUACCUGAAGAAGAAGCCCCGGCUAACUACGUGCCAGCAGCCGCGGUAAUACGUAGGGGGCAAGCGUUAUCCGGAUUUACUGGGUGUAAAGGGGGCGCAGACGGCGAUGCAAGCCAGGAGUGAAAGCCCGGGGCCCAACCCCGGGACUGUUCUUGGAACUGAGUGGAUGGAGUGCAGGAGG
rnacentral:rRNA from 1 species